AACCCCUGUGACAUACCAAUUGUUGCCUCGGCGGAUCAGCCCGCUCCCGGUAAAACGGGACGGCCCGCCAGAGGACCCCUAAACUCUGUUUCUAUAUGUAACUUCUGAGUAAAACCAUAAAUAAAUCAAAACUUUCAACAACGGAUCUCUUGGUUCUGGCAUCGAUGAAGAACGCAGCAAAAUGCGAUAAGUAAUGUGAAUUGCAGAAUUCAGUGAAUCAUCGAAUCUUUGAACGCACAUUGCGCCCGCCAGUAUUCUGGCGGGCAUGCCUGUUCGAGCGUCAUUUCAACCCUCAAGCCCCCGGGUUUGGUGUUGGGGAUCGGCGAGCCCUUGCGGCAAGCCGGCCCCGAAAUCUAGUGGCGGUCUCGCUGCAGCUUCCAUUGCGUAGUAGUAAAACCCUCGCAACUGGUACGCGGCGCGGCCAAGCCGUUAAACCCCCAACUUCUGAAUGUUGACCUCGGAUCAGGUAGGAAUACCCGCUGAACUUAAGC
rnacentral:rRNA from 1 species